UCUGUCUUGUAGAAGAAUAGAGCCCUGAAAUUGCCACAAUAGUGUUUUACAUUGUUUUUGAAUUAGGUUUUAAGGAUUUUUAUUUGCUCAGUUGUGUGUGUGUGUGUGUGUGUGUGUGUGAAGCACAUAUGUAUUUGAAUGUCUUAAUCUCUUAUUUUCUUUGGAGGGUCCUUAAUUUAUUUUACACUGAAUUUUUUCUCCAUCUUCAGAGUGUAUGGCACAUACCCCUAUUCCCUUCUGUUCCAGUACUAUAUUUCGUACAGUUUCCUGCAAAUAGCAGUAGAUACGGGCUGGCUGGUUCAGUGCUCUUGCAGUAUUUACAAUGGACGUUUCUCAGCAUAACUAAUCUCUUUUGAAAAUUUUGGUCCCAUUCUCAUCAGCCCCAAUCCGGUGCUUUGAAAUGAAUUGAAAUGCUGUGCAUUUCAUACGGGAUGAGGAUUAAAGCUUUAACUGGGUCUAGAGAUGAGGUGAGGGAGAAAAAGCCCCCACAAAUCUGGUAGUUUUUUUCUCCUGAGCAGUGAAGAGCAAUGAGCUGUACUCUAGAAAAGAAAGGAAACAGUAAUUAGGAGCCUUUCCCCUACAUUGUACACCGUCUUUGGUUUAGAGCAAAGUAGAAGCCGACCGGUUUUUUAGUUCUGUAGCAUAUUUAAGUAAGGAUUGGAUUUAUAAGCAUCAAGAAGCAGAGGUCUUCAUUCAGGGUUCCUUCCCCACCUCCCCCAGUUUCUAACAGGUUGCAUUUCACCCUUUCAAACACCUCAAAAGCUACCAGAUUAUUGUUAAAUAAACAAAUUUUGGGAGACUACUGACCAUUAGCCAAAGGGAAGGUCCUGAGUCAUCCAAGUGUUCUCCAGCUAGCGAAGAAGUAUGAAAAAGCUCCUGGCCAGAUCUGUACAUGCUGGAGCAUCCGGCUUAUGUCUUUCAGUUUUGUAUGGAAAUGUUCCCUGGAUUCAUAAAAUACUUAAGGACUACAUAAAGAAGAAAGACUCAGGAAUCAAAGGAAAGUCACCUAACAUAACUUCUGUGGGGUGUAUUCAGGAAAGCAGACUCCAUCAAAAGCCCAGGGUUAAAUUCAUCAGCACUGCUUUCUCAGCAUGUUUUGAUUUCCUACUGAAUGCAGUGAGUGCAGGAACCUUGGGCAGCAAACAUUUAAGGAUUUCGUCUGGGCAGGCACUGAUCUUAAAGUUCUGACCUCCAACAGUGUCAGGCAGGUUGCCUUGGUAAACUGUAAAGUGAAACUUUGAAGAUACAACUGCAACUUAAAUGUUCACACGUUUACUAAUUGCUUGAAUAUUUUCAGAGAAAAAAAUGAAUGCUACUUAUUUUUCAGAAUAGGGUGUGAUACUAUACCAAAAUUCACAAAAUGUGAAAGAUAGAUAGAUAUGGAAGGCUACAGAAGAAACUAGAAACUGUGGUUGCUUUUGAGGAAAAGAAUGAGGGCCUAGCAGCCAGAGAUACUUUGCACAGUUUAUAAUAUUGUAAUAUUUUAAUUUCUUUCCUUGUACAUAUAUAGCUUUUUUAAAAGAAUGAGAAGUGCUUUACAAAUGCAGAUAUUUUCACUGUGAAGUCUUUAUUUCCAUAAUACUAAAAGUAAAUGCCUGGUCAAUAGAUUCUGAGCUGUAGCCAUGAUAUCCCUUGAUUUUGUUUACCUGGUAACACUAGCUCAUGUCUGUAAAGUCUUUAAAACUCCCCAAAUUAUUUCACCUAUAUUACCUAAUUUGUAAGAUCACUUUAUUAUUUAUUACUAUUUAUUACUAUUUAUUACUAUUUAUUACUUACUCUUCUCAUUUUCUUCUCUUAGUAUGUGAUUAUCACAUUGCAUUGCAGUGGUUUUGUUCCCUUGUACCACACACAAAAACCACGAUGCUGUUUUCUUCAGUAGUUUCUAAUGAAGGUCUAUUUGACACUUUAAUACUUUCUUCCCUAAUUAUUGGACCAAGCUGUAACAGAAUUAUAAAGCUCGGGCUAUCAGAACAGAAACUAUCAGAACACCCAGGUGUUUAUCUUGAGAGCCAUAUAGCAUUCCAUCGGGAUUCUGUUUGAUGUUACUUUUGUCUUAUCCCACUGGGCCCAACUCAGAGCGUUCAACGGCGGACUCUAAGGGUAAAUUAAAAUACUAGUCAAAAUUAGUGCUCGCUUCGGCAGCACAUAUACUAAAAUUGGAACGAUACAGAGAAGAUUAGCAUGGCCCCUGCGCAAGGAUGACACGCAAAUUCGUGAAGCGUUCCAUAUUUUUCAGCCGUUUGUAAAGCAGCUAUUAUAGCUGACUGUUCUACCUUCCGAGUGGACACUGCUGUUAUCAAGCAGAGAGUGCCGAUCUUACUCAAGUACCUAGACUCAGAUACAGAGAAGGAACUGCAAGCACUUUAUGCACUACAAGCAUCAAUAGUAAAACUUGAUCAACCUGCCAAUUUGCUACGAAUGUUUUUUGAUUGCCUAUACGAUGAGGAGGUGAUCUCCGAGGAUGCCUUCUACAAAUGGGAAAGCAGCAAGGACCCUGCAGAGCAGAAUGGGAAGGGUGUGGCUCUGAAAUCUGUCACUGCGUUCUUCACAUGGCUGCGGGAAGCUGAAGAGGAGUCUGAGGAUAACUAAAGCUUCAAAUACACAAAACGAAACAAAAGAAACAAUUUAAGUAUUUUUUUAAAAAGUUUCACGUCUUCACCAAUCACAGUGCAGCAAGGCCAAUUCUCGCAGAAAUCCCCACGUGUGCACGAGUGGGAGAGGGGAAAGAGAAAAAAAGGUGAUCAUGGAGGAAAAAGGUACUGGAAAAAAGUAAACUUCAAACCUGAGGGCGGGAGCACUAAAACCAAAAUACAUGUAUUAUUUAUAGAAAA